AGAGGAACCCCAUCAAACUUGGAUUUUGUAAGUAGUUGCGAAUGAACACAAAUUUGAUCACUUUGGCAAUCUGUACACAUUGCUGUGUAACAAUUUGUAUACGUUGGCACAGUGCUAUCAAAGCUGCAUGCAAGUGUUUUUUGAAAGGAUACAACAUGGGAUGUGAUAUUCAUGUGUGUGUGCCUGCUUUGUCCACAGCCUGUGCUGUAUGAAUCACAUUUCUUGCAACUGAAAUGCUAAUGGCAUGGUAAAGUUCAUGUGACAUGACACAAGCUUGAGAUUCAUGAUGUGCAAGUACCAUGAGGGAAAUGUGAAAAGGACUUUGGAAAGAGAAUUAAAUAAAGCCUGCAUUUGCUGACAAUGAAAGCAAGUGUGGAUGUUCAUGUAAUUGUUACUGCAUCAAUCAAUGUUCAUCUUGGUUACUGCAUGCUUUAUAUUACAGCUCAGAACAUGAAGUGUGUGUAACAGCUCUGCUUUGAUUUUUCCCACAUGGGAUCAGUUGAAACAUUGUGAGAGCACUCUUCAGUUUCCUUAUGUACCCACCAGCUUUGUCCACUCGCGUGUUGGCACACAUGUAAUGAUGAUGUGUUUAUGCAAGAUACUUCUGUGCUCAACAACAUGUUGUGUCAAUCCUCACUUGAC
rnacentral:rRNA from 1 species